AACGAACGCUGGCGGCAGGCUUAACACAUGCAAGUCGAGCGGGCCCGCAAGGGUCAGCGGCGGACGGGUUAGUAACGCGUGGGAACGUGCCUUUUGCUUCGGAAUAGCCCUGGGAAACUGGGGGUAAUACCGGAUGUGCCCUGAGGGGGAAAGAUUUAUCGGCAAGAGAUCGGCCCGCGUUGGAUUAGGUAGUUGGUGGGGUAACGGCCCACCAAGCCGACGAUCCAUAGCUGGUUUGAGAGGAUGAUCAGCAACACUGGGACUGAGACACGGCCCAGACUCCUACGGGAGGCAGCAGUGGGGAAUCUUAGACAAUGGGCGCAAGCCUGAUCUAGCCAUGCCGCGUGGGUGAUGAAGGCCUUAGGGUCGUAAAGCCCUUUCGCCGGGGAAGAUAAUGACGGUACCCGGUAAAGAAACCCCGGCUAACUCCGUGCCAGCAGCCGCCGCAG
rnacentral:rRNA from 1 species